rnacentral:misc_RNA from 1 species
GGAAGUAAAAGUCGUAACGAGGUCUCCGUUGGUGAACCAGCGGAGGGAUCAUUACCGAGUUUACAACUCCCAAACCCUUAUGUGAACAUACCAAAUGUUGCUUCGGCGGACUCGCCCCGGCGUCCGGACGGCCCUCGCGCCGCCCGCGGCCCGGGCUCAGGCGGCCGCCGGAGACCACAAAACUCUUCUGUAUUAUCAGUAUCUUCUGAAUCAGCCGAAAGGCAAAACAAAUGAAUCAAAACUUUCAACAACGGAUCUCUUGGUUCUG